rnacentral:rRNA from 1 species
GGGAUGACACAGUAGGAUAAGCUAAGCACACUGUUGGUUAUGUGUGCCCAAGCAUUGAGGCAGUCAAAGUAGGCAAAUCCGCUUUGAUAAUGCUGGGAUGUGAUGGGGAGCGAAAUUUAGUAGCGAAGUAGCUGAUUUCACACUGUCAAGAAAAGUCUCUAUCGAGGUUAAAGGUACCCGUACCGCAAACCGACACAGGUGGGUGAGGAGAGUAUCCUAAGGCCAGCGAGAGAACUGUUGUUAAGGAACUCGGCAAAAUGACCCCGUAACUUAGGGAUAAGGGGUGCCACCAUCAGGUGGCCGCAGAGAAUAGGCCCAAGCGACUGUUUACCAAAAACAUAGGUUUCUGCUAAGUCGCAAGACGAUGUAUAGGAGCUGACGCCUGCCCGGUGCUGGAAGGUUAAGGGGAUCUGUUAGAGUAAUCGAAGCAGUGAACUUAAGCCCCAGUAAACGGCGGCCGUAACUAUAACGGUCCUAAGGUAGCGAAAUUCCUUGUCGGGUAAGUUCCGACCCGCACGAAAGGCGUAACGAUUUGGGCACUGUC